GCUCGCUGUUAGAGUUUAACAUUAACAGAGUCAUCCUGAGUGAAGCCAGCAGGUCUGUUCGGUUUAACGUCACAUUUACAUCCAGAGAGAAGAAAGCAGCAGAUAGAUAAAGUAGAGUCAGCUGAUAACAACAGAACAGAACGAAACGUGUCGACCACACGGGACCAGCUGUGAGCGAGCGCGUGCGUGUGUGAGAGGUCAUGUCAGGCAUGACGAGCGGCGUGUGCGUGGAGAGCGACCUCUCCUCGAUGCUCCAAAGAAGCUCCGCCCCUUCCCACCAUCACCCAAAUCACCAUGGUUACGGCGGACAGGGACAGGUGUCGAGCCUCGCUCCGAUGCUGGACUACACCACAGAGAUGGACCGCUACCGCUCGUCCAUCGCCAACUUCUAUAAGACCAACGUCAACAUGAACAUGAACGUCACAAACUUCCCUCAGUCCGCCAAACUGGCGGCACGUUUGGCGGCCGCCGCCCCCAUGUUCCCCCCCGCCGCCGCCAGGCUGGGUGCCAUGGCGACGGCGCCCUGGGGUUGCCAUGACAACAUGAACGUGAACAUGAACCACCCGGCGGCCAUGUUCUGGGGUCGGCCCAAACCCGCCCCGACGCAUCACCACCACCACCCCCACCAUCACCCCUCAGCAACGCCGGGGCACAUGACCUCAUCACACCCCCACGGGACCAGCAUGCACCAGGGCAGCGGCGGGUCAGGAGGGGGAGGAGGAGGGGGUGGAGGGAGCAGUGAGGGGGGAGGAGCUGAAAAACACGGACACACUGCCUCCUCACUUCCUGUCACACAAGGAGCAGCACACCAUCACCCCAUGGCACCGAGCAACGGGAACUUCCUCCCUGCUUACGGUGCGGACUGCGGCGUCAUGAACAAACAGGGACACGCCCACCCGGACAUGAUGGGCCUAUCGGAGGGCGGGAGCUGCAAUGGGGGAGGGGUGAUGGGUAGCAGCUUCCUGGGGGGGCUGGGAUUACCCCCCGGGGUCAUCGUCAUGGCGAUGGGGUCGGCAGGGGGCGGGAUCUCAGAUGCCGGCAGCGCCUUCCAGAUGACCGGCGGCCAGCGGGCGCUAACGGACUGCCAGCAGCACGCCAACUCCUCCCCCUGCCCCUCAUCCUCCUCGCCCUCGUCGUCGGGGGUGACGGCCGGGGGCGUGGCCUUGUCGUCGUCGUCAACGACAGGGACAUCCUCGGGCGCGGUGGCCAAGAGGAAGAGGAAGCGGUGCGGCGUGUGCGGGCCGUGCAGGCGGCUCAUCAACUGCGGCGUCUGCUCGUCCUGCCGCAACAGGAAGACGGGUCACCAGAUCUGCAAGUUCAGGAAGUGUGAAGAGCUGAAGAAGAAGCCGGGGGGAGGAGGGGGGGCGCUGGAGCGGCCGCCCUCCGUCCCGACCGGCGAGGCGUUUCGGUGGUUCUUCUAGCCUUCCCUCCGCCAACAGAGGCCGAACAGGAAGUCACCAUCACACAUGGACUAUAAAUCCAGCUGGGAUGAAUUUUAAAAAAAAAGGACUACAACUUCUAGAUUUGAACCAGGUGCUUUGCAGCAGGAUUACAAUUUCAUACUGAGUGGAUGACUAUUUAAGACUACAAAUCCACCCACCUCAACUGGAACAGGGAACCAGCUAGGAGGACAGAGGUAGAGGGGGCAGUUUGGUCAUGACGAUGUCAACAAUGCACAUUUUCCUGAACUUGUUUGCAGCAAACCACAAACCCCAUCGUAGCCAAACCAGGAAGAAUCAGGCCUCACGUGGACCACAGAAACAGUUUGACCAAAACCGGACGACAAGUUAACCUCAAAGGAAACACUUAACCACAAGAGGGAGUACAAACUGACCUCAGCAGGAAGUGAUCCAGGACUGUUAUUAAGGACUACAACUUCACCACAGUAGGACUACAAUUACCACAUCACUGUUAUCUGUCUCUUCUGUCUACCUCCUCCUCAAGAACUUAAAAGACACCUUGAUUGAUUUUUUUUUCUGGGCUGUGUUCACGCUGGUACGACUUGAUCUGCUUCUGAACUCUCUGGAUGGUCCAGAGCUGACCCCCUUCUCGUGGUUCUUUUAUUUAUUCUUUUACUCCGCUGCCUAAAGGAGCUCUUAGAUGUCUGAUCGUGUUUUAAUUUGUCUGGAUUUCAAUGGAAAGUUCUCAGGGCGCAGUCAUACUUCCAGACUGAAAAAAAAAACUCACUUUGUUGUAUUUUUGUAUUUGCGUAACGAAGGUUUGUAAUUUCUGUUUGAAUAUUGGCUCUGAAUUGGCACAUCCAGCCUCAAACCUUCAGAUUUGUAAAGUCUGUAUCGGUCAAACCCUCACCGGGACCCUCAAAGAGAGUUCAGAACCAGUUCCUCUUUUCUUGUAUCAGUCCAGAUUGUACCACACGGUGACCCCGACAGGAAAACGGGAACUCACAGGGAACCUUUUGGAUCUUCUGGGAAGCUCUGAGCUGAACCCUGGGACUAAACGAACCGAGCUGAACUGAACGAGAUCGGAUCAGAACAUUCCACACUAAAGACAUUUUCCAACACGUCGGUGGGUCUGACUUUGAGUUAACAACCACGACAUGUUCUGGGACCUUUUUAAAUGCGUACCAAGAGUCCCCCCCCAAAAAAACAAAAUGAUUCGUUCUUGAUACCUUUACAUAAAAAAAUAAGUUCUUAGCAAGUCUUGUUUUGAAGAACGGAUAAAGUAAAGUUACUGAACGCCAUGAUGGAGACAUUUUCUGGGUUUAACUUCGUUAAAGUCUCCAUCAAAAACGAGAAAACGGAAUCAAAUCAAACCGUCGGCUGACCAGAGACGCUGAACUAAAGCCGGGUUUACGCUUGCCGUGGCAUCCUUCGUGCGAGGGUGCGCGAGCCAAUAAGGACAUCAUCACGUAUUGUGCGUAAAGUGCGAAACCUCCGCAAGUGCUUGGUUGUGCACCUCUGAGUUAGAAAGACAGCCAACGACUCUUUUCUUUCCAGGGAUCGUAUAAAGGCGAUGAAGUUUACAGUUACUCACAGCUCCUCCUCAGCGUAGAGAAGUUUGGUUUAUGGCGUUCUUUUGGUAACACUCGUCGACUUCUUGCUUUUUCACAAUAUAUUUAGUUUGUACGCCCUCUGGCGUUUCGGAGAAUACUGCACAGAAUAACACGUUGAGCAUAAACAACUUUGUUUAUGCUCGUAGCUCGCCACGGUGCCUCGCCGCGAGCAUGAACAAAGCCUACGGGUUGUGGGCUUUUUAAAGGAUCUUGCUAUUCAAGUUGUUUUGCUGAGACUUUCUCCAGAUUUCCGUUAGCUUAAUGAGGAUGUAGUGAUGUUCAGUUGCGCUUACUAAUUCUGCAUUUCCACUUUCUACUCAACUCGACUCUACGCUCUUUUUUGGUUUUCCAUUAGCUAACAUUGCGGAUAGUCCCUGAUACCUGGUACUUUUACUGGCACCAACGAGGUCAAGGUUCCAAGCCAGCAUGCGACAUCCUGCACAAACCGAGAGUAGUGACGGCAAUUUUCUUUAUUUGCUCGACGACAAAAGUGUGGACGUUCCUCUGUUUGGUUGCCGAUGAAACGAUGAAGAUGAUGUCCCGGCAGUUUCAUGUGGUGUUGCCAUGGCGAUCAGCCGAGAGUCCCGUCUACACUGAGGGGGGGGAAACGAGUAGAGAAAAGUUCCAAAAGUGAGUCGAGUCGAGCCGAACCCCUGAUGGCGGUGAGAGGUAGUUAGUUGCUCUUUCACUUCGUUGUAAAUAGUUUUUAUUGGGAAGAAAAAGUCCCGCUGAAAACUGUUGAGUGAGGUCUGAGGUUAUCCUCAGAAACCAGGACAGAGUUACUGGAAAGUCGAAACGUUGCCGACUAGUUGUUCAACUAAAUCUCUACGAACAUCUACAAGCUCGAUAACCACGGACUGAACCCCGACGACUCGUCCGUCAGCGCUCACAGACGUGUUGGAAACAUUUACUUUUUGUUUUGGAGUACCAUGAGGAAAACGUUCCCCCGCCUCGCCGUGGGAACUGAAACCGAGCGCCUCCGUCCUCCCCCGGGUGGCGUUGGGAGGGAGGAAGGAGGCGCUUGUUUUCGUGUGUCCGUCCUCGUCCUCAUGUCUUCUGUCUCUGUGACCUCCUCAUGUGCUGAAUUGUAAUAAAAGAUUUCAAAGAUUCAAA